rnacentral:pre_miRNA from 1 species
CGGAUUUUAAAAAUCCGUCUCUAAAUUAGAGACGGAUUUUACAAAUCCGUCUCUAAAUUAGGGACGGAUUUUUAAAACCCGUCUCUAAAUUUAGAUAUGAUUAUUUUAUUGCACAUCAUUAAUUUAGGGACGGAUUUUGAAAAUCCGUCUCUACAUUAGGGACGGAUUUAAAAUCCGUCUCUAAAUUAGGGACGGAUUUUGAAAAUCCG